rnacentral:rRNA from 1 species
UACGUAGGGGGCAAGCGUUAUCCGGAUUUACUGGGUGUAAAGGGAGCGUAGACGGCGGGGCAAGUCUGGAGUGAAAGGCCGGGGCCCAACCCCGGGACCGCUCUGGAAACUGCCCGGCUGGAGUGCGGGAGGGGCAGGCGGAAUUCCUGGUGUAGCGGUGAAAUGCGUAGAUAUCAGGAGGAACACCGGCGGCGAAGGCGGCCUGCUGGACCGCGACUGACGUUGAGGCUCGAAAGCGUGGGGAGCGAACAGG